AAUUUUCGUCUAUAUGAUAACUUACCGCCAGUAUUUUCGACUGUUAUUUCGUUGCUAUCAUCGUAA